rnacentral:rRNA from 1 species
UACGAAGGGGGCUAGCGUUGCUCGGAAUCACUGGGCGUAAAGCGCACGUAGGCGGAUUGCUAAGUCAGGGGUGAAAUCCUGGAGCUCAACUCCAGAACUGCCCUUGAUACUGGCGGUCUCGAGUCCGGGAGAGGUGAGUGGAACUGCGAGUGUAGAGGUGAAAUUCGUAGAUAUUCGGCGGAACACCAGUGGCGAAGGCGACUCACUGGCCCGAUACUGACGCUGAGGCGCGAAAGCGUGGGGAGCAAACAGG